GGAGGACCACACAAGGUAGAGGAGACCAUUGCCAGGAUACAGGGUAUCCACUAAACCAACAGGCCAACAUUGGCCAAAGUGAAUAAUUGUUAGGCAAGCUUCAAUUUUGUGGCAGAGAACACAUCUAUCACUCUUUAGGAGGAGUUCAGGGAAGAGAGAUCCACAGCAUCCAGCCAUGGAAGAAAGGAAACAAGGACGAUCAAACCCUUUCACUGUCAAAGGUCUUUAAGAUUACAUCACCUGCCAGCAAGAGUACCAAGAGCUGAAUACCAAAUAGCCACACAGUAAGGAGGGAGAUCAUUGCCAGGGUACAGGGUGUCCAUUAUGCC